rnacentral:rRNA from 1 species
GUGAGGAAUAUUGGUCAAUGGGCGGGAGCCUGAACCAGCCAAGUCGCGUGAAGGAAGAAGGAUCUAUGGUUCGUAAACUUCUUUUGCAGGGGAAUAAAGUGCAGGACGUGUCCUGUUUUGUAUGUACCCUGAGAAUAAGGAUCGGCUAACUCCGUGCCAGCAGCCGCGGUAAUACGGAGGAUCCGAGCGUUAUCCGGAUUUAUUGGGUUUAAAGGGUGCGUAGGUUGUUUGAUAAGUCAGCGGUGAAAGUUUGCAGCUUAACUGUAAAAAUGCCGUUGAAACUGUCGGACUUGAGUGUAAAUGAGGUAGGCGGAAUGCGUGGUGUAGCGGUGAAAUGCAUAGAUAUCACGCAGAACUCCGAUUGCGAAGGCAGCUUACUAAGCUACAACUGACACUGAAGCACGAAAGCGUGGGGAUCAAACAGGAUUAGAAACCCCGGUAGUCC